GACGUAGGGCGCGAGCGUUGUCCGGAUUUAUUGGGCGUAAAGAGCUCGUAGGCGGCUUGUCGCGUCGACUGUGAAAACCCGCAGCUCAACUGUGGGCUUGCAGCCGAUACGGGCAGGCUAGAGUUCGGUAGGGGAGACUGGAAUUCCUGGUGUAGCGGUGAAAUGCGCAGAUAUCAGGAAGAACACCCGUGGCGAAGGCGGCUUUCUGGGACGGUACUGACGCUGAGACGCGAAAGCCAGGGGAGCAAACGGG
rnacentral:rRNA from 1 species